rnacentral:rRNA from 1 species
AACGAACGCUGGCGGCAUGCCUAACACAUGCAAGUCGAACGAACUCUUCGGAGUUAGUGGCGCACGGGUGCGUAACGCGUGGGAAUCUGCCCUUGGGUACGGAAUAACUCAGAGAAAUUUGUGCUAAUACCGUAUAAUGACCUCGGUCCAAAGAUUUAUCGCCCAAGGAUGAGCCCGCGUAAGAUUAGCUAGUUGGUGGGGUAAAAGCCUACCAAGGCGACGAUCUUUAGCUGGUCUGAGAGGAUGAUCAGCCACACUGGGACUGAGACACGGCCCAGACUCCUACGGGAGGCAGCAGUGGGGAAUAUUGGACAAUGGGCGAAAGCCUGAUCCAGCAAUGCCGCGUGAGUGAUGAAGGCCUUAGGGUUGUAAAGCUCUUUUACCCGGGAUGAUAAUGACAGUACCGGGAGAAUAAGCUCCGGCUAACUCCGUGCCAGCAGCCGCGGUAAU